rnacentral:rRNA from 1 species
UACGGAGGGUGCAAGCGUUAUCCGGUUUUACUGGGUUUAAAGGGUGUGUAGGCGGGCUUUUAAGUCAGUGGUGAAAUCUCCGGGCUCAACCUGGAAACUGCCAUUGAUACUAUUAGUCUUGAAUUUUGUUGAGGUGGGCAGAAUAUGUCAUGUAGCGGUGAAAUGCAUAGAUAUGUUAUAGAACACCGAUUGCGAAGGCAGCUGGCUAAACAUAUAUUGACGCUGAGGCACGAAAGCGUGGGUAGCGAACAGG